AUACGUAGGUGUCGAGCGUUGUCCGGAUUUAUUGGGCGUAAAGCGCCCGCAGGCGGCCAGGCAAGUCCAGGGUGAAAUCUCCCGGCUCAACCGGGAGGGUGCCCUGGAAACUGCUUGGCUUGAGGCAGGGAGAGGGAGGUGGAAUUCCCGGUGUAGGGGUGAAAUGCGUAGAUAUCGGGAGGAACACCAGUGGCGAAGGCGGCAUCCUGGCCCUGUCCUGACGCUCAGGGGGAAAGCGUGGGGAGCAAACCGGAUUAGAUACCCGGGUAGUCCACGCCGUAAACGAUGAGUACUAGGUGUUGGAGGUAUCGACCCCUUCAGUGCCGAAGCCAACGCGAUAAGUACUCCGCCUGGGGACUACGGCCGCAAGGCUAAA
rnacentral:rRNA from 1 species